rnacentral:rRNA from 1 species
GUGGGGAAUAUUGGACAAUGGGCGAAAGCCUGAUCCAGCAAUGCCGCGUGAGUGAAGAAGGCCUUCGGGUUGUAAAGCUCUUUUACCCGGGAAGAUAAUGACUGUACCGGGAGAAUAAGCCCCGGCUAACUCCGUGCCAGCAGCCGCGGUAAUACGGAGGGGGCUAGCGUUGUUCGGAAUUACUGGGCGUAAAGCGCACGUAGGCGGUCUUUUAAGUCAGAGGUGAAAGCCCGGGGCUCAACUCCGGAAUUGCCUUUGAAACUGGAAGACUUGAACACGGGAGAGGUGAGUGGAAUUCCGAGUGUAGAGGUGAAAUUCGUAGAUAUUCGGAAGAACACCAGUGGCGAAGGCGACUCACUGGCCCGUUACUGACGCUGAGGCGCGAAAGCGUGGGGAGCAAACAGGAUUAGAAACCCUAGUAGUCC